GGAUUAAUACCGGAUAUUCUUAUUUGAUCACAUGAUUUUUUAAGGAAAGGUCAGCCGAACUAAGAUGGGCUCGCGUUCUAUCAGCUAGUUGGUAGGGUAAUGGCCUACCAAGGCUACGACGGAUAGCUGGUCUGAGAGGACGAUCAGGCACACUGGGACUGAUACACGGCCCAGACUCCUACGGGAGGCUGCAGCAGGGAAUAUUGCGCAAUGAGCGAAAGCUUGACGCAGCGACACCGCGUGUGGGAUGACGGAUCUAGGUUUGUAAACCACUUUCAGGAGGGAAGAAAAUGACGGUACC
rnacentral:rRNA from 1 species